rnacentral:rRNA from 1 species
AUUGGAGGGGGAAGUCUGGUGCCAGCAGCCGCGGUAAUUCCAGCUCCAAUAGCGUAUAUUAAAGUUGUUGCAGUUAAAAAGCUCGUAGUUGAACUUUGGGCCCGGUUGGCCGGUCCGAUUUUUUCGUGUACUGGAUUUCCAACGGGGCCUUUCCUUCUGGCUAACCUUGAGUCCUUGUGGCUCUUGGCGAACCAGGACUUUUACUUUGAAAAAAUUAGAGUGUUCAAAGCAGGCGUAUUGCUCGAAUAUAUUAGCAUGGAAUAAUAGAAUAGGACGUUUGGUUCUAUUUUGUUGGUUUCUAGGACCAUCGUAAUGAUUAAUAGGGACGGUCGGGGGCAUCAGUAUUCAAUUGUCAGAGGUGAAAUUCUUGGAUUUAUUGAAGACUAACUACUGCGAAAGCAUUUGCCAAGGACGUUUUCAUUAAUCAAGAACGAAAGUUAGGGGAUCGAAGAUGAUCAGAUACCGUCGUAGUCUUAACCAUAAACUAUGCCGAAAGGGGGAUCGGAG